AGCAAUUGUGCUCCAAAACUCUUAAAAUUGAUGUGUUGGAGCGAUUGGAAAAGAGUAUUGCAAUAACUCUUUGUAAGCUUGAAAAGGUGUUUGUUCCAUCAUUCUUUGAUAUUAUGGUUCACCUCCCAAUCCACUUGGCUAGUGAGGCCAAGCUUGCUGGGCCAGUGCAAUAUCGAUUUGAAAGGGAAAUGUACACCAUGAAGCUGCCUACUGCAACUAACAAAGCUCAACCAGAAGGCUCUAUUUGCUAAUGCCCGUAUAAUGGAAGAAUGUCUUACCUUCGUCUCUAGAUAUUUAAGUGGUGUUGAGACAUAAUUCAAUCGCAUGAGUAGAAAUGACUUGGGUAAGAAUUAUCAUUCUCCAUUGUUUAAACUAUCAGUUUUUCAAAACAAGGGAAAUCCAUUAGGUAGAAGAACAUUCAAGCAAUUGAGCAUCUUAGUUUGGGAGCAAGCUCAAUUAUAUGUUCUUAUGAAUUGUCCAGAAGUACAACCAUUUGUGGAAGAGUAUGCCUCUAUUUGUGGGCCAAAACCAAGUGUAGUUGAUUGGUUUCAAUCACGAAUAUGGAAUCUUCAUAUGGAAGGAGAUCCAAGAGUAACAACCGAGUAUCAUUGUCACGAGGUCCGAGUAAAAGUGUUAGAAGCUAUCAAGGAUACUAUAUAAAUGGGCAUCGUUUCCACACUAAAAAACGUCAAAGAAGGCGAAAGACACAAAAUAGUGGAAUAGUUGUUAAAGGAGAUGAAGAGAGUGGAUAAAGAGACUUUUGGGGGUUUUAAAAGAAGUCAUAGAAUUGGAGUAUGAUGUUCCAAAUGGUGCGGAUAAGUAACCAAUCGUGGUGUUAUUUAGAUGUGUUUGGUUCGAUAUUUAUACGGAGAGGCGAGGGAUAAAAAGGGACAAGUUUGGCACAAUUAGUGUCAACACUAAAAGGUUUUUACAAACCAAUGAGCCAUUUUCUAUGGCAUCCCAGGUUGGACAAGUCUAUUACGUGAGGGCACAUAAUGAGCCAAAUUGGAGAAUCGUUAUUAAGACAAUUCCUCGUAACUUCUACAAUUUUCCAAUUGUUGAUGAUAGUGGUUGCGAUGAUGAGAAUGAUGAUGUUGAAUUAGGAAUACCUAACUCAAUAGUGAAUGAUGUAGAUGAUGAGAUUUUACCAAGAAAUGAUGUCCCUCCUAUGUUAGUGAACUCAAUUGAUUUUGAGUCAAAGGAGAAUGGGAUUUUGGAAGAAGAAGAACUCGAAGAAGAAGAAGAUGAUGAUGUGGACUCGGGCAGCGACUAAACUUGUUGCUAUUCCAUCUUUUGUCUUUUUUUUUUUUUAAUCUCAAACUUACGUAAAAUGUGCUACUUUUAUACAUGGAUCAGAACUUUUAUUUCUGUUUUACUUUCUGUUUUCUAUUUAUAUUUCUGUUUUUAUUUUCUGUUUUCUGUUUAUAUUUUCUAUUUAUUUUUUGUUUUCUAUUUAUGGAUUUAAACCAGAUUUUGUUUGGUAUAGAAAGAAGAACAAUGAAUCUGGAGACUCAAUCAUCGUUAUUGCAAUUAGGAUCGACCUCUCAACCUAAUAGAAGAAAAGGUCCCUUUCGUGGUCCAAGUAGAGCACUCAAGUAUAAAAAGUUGCGAAGCAUUCAACCCGGAAAGCUCAAGGUUAGUAUUCCUCCAGUAUUAGGAGCUGUUGUGGGUGAGCGUGCAAAUCAGUUUGUUGUUUAGUGUGCUUAUUGGGUGAAGGAGAUCUGCCCCCUUGAUGUUCUUAAAUGGAGUGAUAUGCCUGACGGGAUUGUAGAUCAAUUAUAUGCAAGGAUUAAGUCAAAGUACGAAUUGGGUGAAGGAGCACACAUUCGUAAAGCAAUAAAGAUCCAAUGCUCCACCCUUUAUAGGCAUUGGAGAGAAAGGUUGAAGGCUGACUAUUUUUCAACUAGAAAAUCUUUAUUAAUGGAAGUGGCUUGUUUAUAACUAUUGGAGCUCUCCUAAACAGAAGGAAAGGAGUGAGAAGAAUCGAGCAAAUGCUCUUGCAAAGAAGAUCAAGUCAGCAUGUGGUGCAAAAUCAACAGCUCGCAUAAUUUAUGAAUUGAUGAGUAUAAUCUAUCUUUGUCUUAGUUGUUUACUGUCUUCAUGAGCUGUGACUGUAUACAACAGAGUAAAAAUAGUUUUCUUGAUUCACUUGUGAUUUUGCUAUAUUCAAUUUCGGAUAUCUAGGUUAAAUCUUAAGGAGUAAUUUUUUUUUUAUUAAAUAUGGAGCAUCAUUAUUGUUUUAAGUUGAAGAGAGCGUGGCCUAUUUCUUAAAGCUUCAUAUAUGUGCAUUACUACAUUAUAUGCCUUAUAGAAUUUAUCAUAAUUAGCUAGCUGAUUACUAGAAACCAUGUAACAAUGAACAUCCUAGUAGCUCAGCAAUGUGAGCCUCAUUUAAUUACAGAAUAGUGGAAUGGCUUUUAGUGGCCAAAGAUUACUGCCUCAUAUUAUUCUGUAUGAUCUGCUUGAUGCAGAUUUACAUCAUCCCUCAUUCAUUAAUGAAAACUCAACAUGGUCUAAUGAUACUACGCGUUAGAUUUGAAUGCAUUAAAAUAAUUGUUUUCCUAGCGUAUUCAACAUCUGUAGUUUUUCGUUUUAAGUAACUUAUCUGGAAACUUGAUUCUGUUCUGUUUUAGUGCUCCUGUGGUCAUGUCCUGUUGUAUUCGUCGUAUUAUAAAUUCUGCAUUGUUGAAAUGUGGAUCUGAUCCUCUUGUUAUUAAAAAAAAAGAAAUAUGCAUUGUUGAAUUACUAUAUGGUUUUGAAAUACUUUCCUAAAUGGAUUGAUCUUGCUGAAACUAAUAAGUGUAUGUAUAUGAUUUGAUAGGAACUUGAGGCACAAGCUUGUGAACAUGAGAAUGAGUUCACCGAAAUCAAUGGUUCUAGUUCAAAUGUAACCACCUCAUCCCUAGCUAAUGAUGAUCCCAUGUAUUUAAAGUUAUGGGAGAAGUCAAAGAGGCAUAAAAAUGGGAAGUUUGACAAUGAGGCCGAGGAGAAGUUCAAGGAAUUAAGAGAGUUGCAUGAGAAGGAAAUUAGUGAAAAGAGAGUUGAUAAUCUUACUCUUGAAGAAGCUUAUGUGAAGGUUCUUGGACAUCGUCCAGGUUAUGCCCGAGGUUUAGGCAAAGGGCACCUGGUGUCGUCUAAAGAUCGAAAGAUCGGAAGAGCUGAGCUGAAACAAAAUGUUGAAAAACUACAAAAUGAAAAUAAUAUUAUGCGAGCUGAAUUGGAAGCGUCUAAGAAGAAACAAGAAGACCCAGAACAAAAGCUUCGGUUAAUCAUGGAGAAGAUUGGCCUUGAUGCUUGAUAGAGUUUGCAGUUAGGAAAUCAAGUCAAUGUUUUGGGGAUGGAGGACACCAAAAGGCUGGUUGCAAGGAUGAGAAGAUUGCUUGAUAUACAACUUGGUUAAUACUUUUGUAUAUGUUUGCUAUUAAAUAUUAUUAAAUAUUUGCUAUUAUAGAAAACUUGGUUAAUACUUAUAUAUAAUAACAAAAUUAAAAUUUAUGCAUAUUAGCACCUAGAAUUAUUUUUUUUUAAAAAAAACAAAAAAUUGAUUAAAGAGGGCGACUUUGAUUUUGCCCUUUAAAAUUUGAUCAAACAGGGCGAAUUUUGAG